UGCCAGCAGCCGCGGUAAUACGUAAGUCGCAAGCGUUAUCCGGAAUCACUGGGCUUAAAGGGUGCGUAGGCGGCCAUGAAGGUCUGAUGUGAAAUCCCACGGCUCAACCGUGGAAUUGCGUUGGAAACCACAUGGCUUGAGGGAGACAGAGGUAAGCGGAACUGAUGGUGGAGCGGUGAAAUGUGUUGAUAUCAUCAGGAACACCGGUGGCGAAAGCGGCUUACUGGGGCACAACUGACGCUGAGGCACGAAAGCUAAGGAAGCGAACGGGAUUAGAUA
rnacentral:rRNA from 1 species